CCCUUAGACGUUCUGGGCCGCACGCGCGCUACCCUGACGAAGGCAACGAGCUUUCCUUUACCGAAAGGUACGGGUAAUCUUUUGAAACUUCGUCGUGCUGGGGAUAGAUCCUUGCAAUUUUUGAUCUUAAACGAGGAAUGCCUAGUAAGCGCAAGUCAUCAACUUGCGUUGAUUACGUCCCUGCCCUUUGUACACACCGCCCGUCGCUACUACCGAUUGAAUGGUUUAGUGAGGCCUUCGGAUCCGCGACUCGUUUGUGGAGAAGUUGGACAAACUCAGUCAUUUAGAGGAAGUAAAAGUCGUAACA
rnacentral:rRNA from 1 species